rnacentral:rRNA from 1 species
UACGAAGGGGGCUAGCGUUGCUCGGAAUGACUGGGCGUAAAGGGCGCGUAGGCGGCGAUCACAGUCAGAUGUGAAAUUCCUGGGCUUAACCUGGGGGCUGCAUUUGAUACGUGGUUGCUUGAGUGGGGAAGAGGGUCGUGGAAUUCCCAGUGUAGAGGUGAAAUUCGUAGAUAUUGGGAAGAACACCGGGUGGCGAAGGCGGCGACCUGGUCCUUGACUGACGCUGAGGCGCGAAAGCGUGGGGAGCAAACAGG